CCCUAGCCCUGAUAGAAGUGGAAAUCCUUUUGUGCUCGGGUUCAGCAUAAAAGAUUAGAACGGAUAGCGGGAAAUAGC
rnacentral:sRNA from 1 species